ensembl:lncRNA BCORP1 BCL6 corepressor pseudogene 1
GUAGUUCCCAGGCCGGUGUUCCCGUAUGGUCUCACUCUGUCAUGCAUGAUGGACUGCAGUGGUGCAAUCAUGGCUCACUGUAGCUUCGACCACCCUGGCUCCGGUCAUCAUCCUACCUCAGCCUCCCAGUGGUGUCAGUCAUCAACCUUGUGAUCACUGAGGAAAAGAUACAAUAAUCCUUGCCUAUCCGAACUGGGAUCCUAAAAAUUAUGGAACGAAUUGUAGAAACUCAAGCAACUUUCUCCAAAGCCUAGGGUUCAGCAAGAGUAAGCAAGAGGCACUGAGCCGCUGGAGUCUGCACAUUGAUAAAUUUACUUACAGUCGUAAAUAAAUUGCAUCAUCUUCAGCUAGUAA